rnacentral:rRNA from 1 species
GACGAACGCUGGCGGCGUGCCUAAUACAUGCAAGUCGGACGCAGUUGCGCACGGGGGAGUAACGCGUAGGUAACUGCCUCUUAGAGGGGGAUAACUAUUGGAAACGAUAGCUAAUACCGCAUACUAGUAGAUGGACCUGCGUUGUAUUUGGUAGUAGGUAGGGUAAUGGCCUACCUAGGCAACGAUAGAUACCCGACCUGAGAAGGUUGUCGGGCAAACUGGGGACGGGAACAGGCCCAGACUCCUACGGGGAGCAACCGUAGGGAAUCUUCGGCCAAGGGGGGAACCCUGAACGAGCAACGGCGCGGGAGUGAAAGAGGUUUUCGGAUCGGAAAGCUCUGUUGGUAAGGGAGCGGUACUUAACCAGAAAGGGACGGCUAACUACGUGCCAGCAGCCGCGGUAAUUC